CUGAUUUGAGUAAAAUGCCUGAUUCUCCUGUGUGGCCAGUCUCGUGUCAAUUAAACUCUCUACUACAAUGCCAUGGUGUCAAUGCAUCUUGUCUGUGCAGUGCGCAGAAAGAACCCACUGGCAAUUACAUUACCAGUAGCUAUCGCUCUUCUGUCCUUCAAACAGGAAAUACUUCAACCCUGGCUUGAUUCUUAAUUGAAGAGCUGCAUAAAAGCUAUAGCUGAAGUCCAUGGGGACCACGGGAAUUGAAGAAACUUGGAGAGUAUGUUUUAAAUAAUUUAUCUCUUAGUUAAUCUCCUUGAAGCAGGGUAUUAGAAAACAAAAUUUUGAAAACUAGUUGUUUUGAGAAACUGAACAGAUCUCACAGUCAAGGAAAGAUUUGUGUGUUAAUCCAAUGCCAUUCAAAUUGAAAGAGAAGAGCCGUAGUUGUGAGAUAAGCAUAUGCAGAAUUAUGAAAAGGGAG
rnacentral:lncRNA from 10 species